rnacentral:lncRNA from 1 species
CCUGCAAUUUAUUAUUUUGCAUGCUUUCAGACAAGUGCUGUAGGACUUAAAUUAUGCACAUCAGGAACAGUCCCUCUCACACUUGCAUAGUGGCUUGAGCAAAGUUCUUAGGUUUUGUGGCUAAAACUAUGCUGUCUUUCACUGCAACAACUGUAUUUUCACUUUCUUUCCAUCUAUUAUUCACAUCGUAAACAUCUGCAUUGUAAACGUCAGAUGUACUAAUUGUCAUGUCUCUGGCUCCGGGUAUUAAGCCCUACUCUUUUGAAUUAAAAGCAAUAUAUAUAUAUCUAUGUAUCUUUUUUUUUUUUUUUCUAUUAAUAUCUCAAAAUGCAUGUCCCUUUAUUUUUUGAGCAGGCACUGGGGCUUUCGCAGCUAUCUCUUACGCUGUAUUUUUUUACGCUUUGGAAAAGCCUUCGUGAAAUCUUUUCCUGCUGCAGAUUUUGGCUGCACGGACACACAGGAGGAAGGUGAGCUGAUUCAUCAGCCCCGCGUUAGAGGCACAUAAUGGAAUAUAAUGGAAGGGGAAAGACUAAUAGCAGAGGAGCAGAAAAAGUGGAAAUCCACAGCUUUCUAGGAUCUCCUUAAAGAUUGUCCCGGAAGAAAGCCAAAACAUUAACUUUGCAUUCAUCGUAUAAAUAAGGGUAUUUUUAAAAAUUCUAUCUACAGAGACACACGCACACUGGGUUGGAGCCUUGUCUAACUCUUCGGUGCGCUGCUGCAACUCCAUUAAAACAGCAACAACAUGCUAGUAUGGAAACUAAUGUAAGAUCUUCUAUGGGUGAUUAUGGACAAACAGAAUCAGAUCAGCCAGAUAUUUGCAUCCUUCCAGGGACAACUGGCAAUCGGAAGAUUGAGCUUGCUAUUUAUAGCAAAUUUGAGGGACAGCCUGUGGGCUGGUGUGCAAAUCAGCAUUCCCAAUGCAAAUGAAAGCCAAUUGCCACAGCCACUAUUGGUUGGAAAAGAGUUGUCUCGGAAAUUUUUAACAAAUGCAAAACAACAUUUUUUCUCUC